AUCAACUCGAGGAGAUCACUCGA
rnacentral:snRNA from 1 species